rnacentral:sRNA from 1 species
GGAGUACAUGGUUGGUCACGUGGGACC